rnacentral:rRNA from 1 species
UACGUAGGCAGCGAGCGUUGUUCGGAGUUACUGGGCGUAAAGAGUGCGUAGGCGGUUUUCUAAGUUUGGUGUGAAAUCUCCCGGCUUAACUGGGAGGGUGCGUCGAAGACUGGAAGGCUUGAGUAUGGGAGAGGUAAGCGGAAUUCCUGGUGUAGCGGUGAAAUGCGUAGAUAUCUGGAGGAACACCGGUGGCGAAGGCGGCAUCCUGGACCGAUACUGACGCUGAGGAGCGAAAGCCAGGGGAGCAAACGGG